rnacentral:rRNA from 1 species
AGUUUGAUCCUGGCUCAGGAUGAACGCUAGCGGCAGGCCUAACACAUGCAAGUCGAGGGGUAGAGGGAGCUUGCUUCCUUGAGACCGGCGCACGGGUGCGUAACGCGUAUGCAAUCUGCCCCCUACAGGGGAAUAGCCCAGGGAAACUUGGAUUAAUGCCCCAUAGCCCAUAUUGAGAGCAUUCGAUAUAUGGUAAAGAUUUAUCGGUAGGGGAUGAGCAUGCGUACCAUUAGCUAGUUGGUGUGGUAACGGCACACCAAGGCAACGAUGGUUAGGGGCCCUGAGAGGGGGAUCCCCCACACUGGUACUGAGACACGGACCAGACUCCUACGGGAGGCAGCAGUGAGGAAUAUUGGACAAUGGGCGGGAGCCUGAUCCAGCCAUGCCGCGUGCAGGAAGACUGCCCUAUGGGUUGUAAACUGCUUUUUUACGGGAAGAAACACCCCCACGUGUGGGGGCUUGACGGUACCGUACGAAUAAGGAUCGGCUAACUCCGUGCCAGCAGCCGCGGUAAUACGGAGGAUCCAAGCGUUAUCCGGAAUCAUUGGGUUUAAAGGGUCCGUAGGCGGACGUCUAAGUCAGUGGUGAAAUUCUGCAGCUCAACUGUAGAACUGCCAUUGAUACUGGUCGUCUUGAAUCGUUGUGAAGUGGCUAGAAUAUGUAGUGUAGCGGUGAAAUGCUUAGAUAUUACAUAGAAUACCGAUUGCGAAGGCAGGUCACUAACAACGCAUUGACGCUGAU